rnacentral:rRNA from 1 species
CGCCUACGGGACGCAGCAGUGAGGAAUAUUGGUCAAUGGGCGAGAGCCUGAACCAGCCAAGUCGCGUGAAGGAUGACGGCCCUACGGAUUGUAAACCUCUUUUGUCAGGGAGCAAUUGGCGCUACGUGUAGCGUUAUCGAGAGUACCUGAAGAAAAAGCAUCGGCUAACUCCGUGCCAGCAGCCGCGGUAAUACGGAGGAUGCGAGCGUUAUCCGGAUUUAUUGGGUUUAAAGGGUGCGUAGGCGGAAUGCCAAGUCAGCGGUAAAAUCGCGGGGCUCAACCUAGCUCCGCCGUUGAAACUGGCG